AUUGAACGCUGGCGGCAGGCUUAACACAUGCAAGUCGAGCGGGGACUUCGGUCCUAGCGGCGAACGGGUGAGGAAUGCUUGGGAGUCUGCCCAGUAGCGGGGGAUAACGUUUCGAAAGGAACGCUAAUACCGCAUACGCCCUACGGGGGAAAGGGGGGGCUCUUCGGACCUCUCACUAUUGGAUGAGCCCAAGUCGGAUUAGCUAGUUGGUGGGGUAAAGGCCUACCAAGGCGACGAUCCGUAGCUGGUCUGAGAGGAUGAUCAGCCACACUGGAACUGAGACACGGUCCAGACUCCUACGGGAGGCAGCAGUGGGGAAUAUUGGACAAUGGGCGAAAGCCUGAUCCAGCCAUGCCGCGUGUGUGAAGAAGGCCUUCGGGUUGUAAAGCACUUUAAGCGAGGAGGAAUGGCUGAGGGUUAAUAACCUUCAGCAGUGACGUUACUCGCAGAAUAAGCACCGGCUAACUCUGUGCCAGCCGCCGCCGUAAAAC
rnacentral:rRNA from 1 species